rnacentral:lncRNA from 1 species
AGUUCGUUUAGAUCGAGGAAACGUGGUUUCUUUACACUGUCAACGUCAUCUUGACCUGGGCUACCUGAUUUCUCAGGUGGCUUAGUUUCUUCUUUCACUUCCGUUUUGGAGUAGCCUUGAUCAGCAUGAUCUAUUUUCGGAACUUGCUCAUCAUUGGAAUAGCCGCCUUCAUCAGCCUGAUCUCCUUUGGGAUCUUGUUCAUCAUCAUUGUCGUCAUCGUUAUUAUCAUCAUCAUUAUCAUCCUCGGCAUCACUAUCAUUGCCAUUGCCAUUGUCGUUGUAGUCUUGACUUCCACCUGAGGAAUUUUCGUUCUCGCUGGCACCAGAGUGGUUUCCCGAAGCAUCAUCCAACUUCUCCUGUUGUUUUCCAGCAUCUGUUUCGGAGUCUGAGAGCUCAUACUGCUUAUAAUCGAUCCGGUUUCUGGUAGACCUUCUACUGCGUCUCAAACCAGACCGGAACUUGUCAGCAGAAAUCAUCUUGGUUUCUCUUCUAGUGCGACCCGGCAACUUUCUUGAUUUCCGAGGCUGAUCACUCUCCUCAUCACUGAUACUCAAGGAAUCCUCGUCCUCCUCUUCCUCUUCCUCCUCUUCACCAUUUUCUCCAUCCCACUUGUAUUCCUCAUCACCUUCAGAGCCACUGGAGAGCUUCCUCUGUUUACGUUUCCUCAGGUAUUCCUCAUCAUAAACGGCUUCUCCGACGAUAUCAUCUUCGC